ensembl:snRNA U6 U6 spliceosomal RNA
AUGCUUGCUUUGACAGCAUGUAUACUAAAAUUGGAAUGAUACAGAGAACUUUAACAUGGCCCCUGCUCAAGGAUGACAUACAAAUUUGUGAAAAUUAAAUUUGA